GAUGAACGCUGGCGGCGUGCUUAACACAUGCAAGUCGAACGAUGAAGCCCAGCUUGCUGGGUGGAUUAGUGGCGAACGGGUGAGUAACACGUGAGUAACCUGCCCUUAACUCUGGGAUAAGCCUGGGAAACUGGGUCUAAUACCGGAUAGGAGCGUCCACCGCAUGGUGGGUGUUGGAAAGAUUUAUCGGUUUUGGAUGGACUCGCGGCCUAUCAGCUUGUUGGUGAGGUAAUGGCUCACCAAGGCGACGACGGGUAGCCGGCCUGAGAGGGUGACCGGCCACACUGGGACUGAGACACGGCCCAGACUCCUACGGGAGGCAGCAGUGGGGAAUAUUGCACAAUGGGCGCAAGCCUGAUGCAGUGACGCCGCGUGAGGGAUGACGGCCUUCGGGUUGUAAACCUCUUUCAGUAGGGAAGAAGCGAAAGUGACGGUACCUGCAGAAGAAGCACCGGCUAACUACGUG
rnacentral:rRNA from 1 species